ensembl:lncRNA
CUUUGGCCAAGACUUUCAGAUGCUAUGUAUUGAUGCCACUCAGAGUUCUUAACUCAGGGAUAUAAAUCAGGUUGUAGCAUGAAUAAGACUUAGGGUUUUGCCACAAGGAGAUAAGAUUUUCAACAAACACUAUAAACCCUCACUCAACACACAAGUUUGAAAAUACGGCAGGACCGCCCAUGAGGAAGUGUUUUCCAGGCCCAGGUUUUCCACUGUUCCUCCAUUUCUACGUUAUCAGAAACACUUUCCUACCCUAAAUUCAGGCCACUGAUCAAGUCAGCUACGAAGCUUUUAUUCCAAGCCUGCUGGGUAUAAAGGACUGCAUUUUACCCUGGGAAGGCAUUUGAAGUCUUUCCAAACCAACGAUCUGCUUGUCUAGCUGUCAAAGCGUAGACUUCACUGGCACUCUUACCGUAGUCCUGACUCAAGUUUAUGUGCCAGAAAAGGAACUUCUGCCUUUCAAAUUCAACAAGGUCUUCAGACCAUGGCUGUCUUGCACAAUACAGACCUGCUAUUAGAGCAACUAAGGGUAUUUACAGUGUAUUUAAAUAAUGUAGCGCAAAGAAUAGAAAGUUUGAAAGUCUGUCUGGGAGUUGGAGAAUUGACUUCCAUAAAUCUGAGACAUGAAAAAUAUGUUUUUUGUUCAAAUGUUGGAAAGAGUUUUGUCGACCUUUUUGCUUCAUUGGGAUCUCUUUAAGUUUUCCUGGUAACCAGAAACAACUUUCACAGUUUGUGUCGCACUUGGCUCCUGUUUCAGGGAGAGAGGGCAAGCUGGCUGUUGUUUCAGUAAUGCCUGCACAGUGGAGGACGGAGAACUCAGCGCUGAGGACGCCUGCCAGCAGUUAACCCUGCCAAACCAAACGGGAAUCAGUGUGGACAAUAGGAAGAUUAUGUGGUGGAAAAUGGAUACACAGAAUUAAGGCAGGAAAACCACAUCAAUUAUCUUUAGAAGCUGCGUCUUUCCCCCAGGUUACAAAGCCGUCCCUCUAAGCGUUCAGAUGUUGCUAUUCCACCGAAAGCUGUUUCACCAAAAGCUCAUCCACAAAAGGUCAACAGGUGCAGUCGAAACAGAAUGCUUUUACUCUUAUGACUUCCUGUGUGUCCUUGACCUGGCUGCGAGUCUUUCUGCCCCCAUUGUGUCCUUUCAGUCACACUAGCAUCAGGCCUCCAAGUGCCCCCGAGAGAGAGGGGGAUGGAGCCACGCUGCCCGGAGUGGAUGCAGAGGGCUCGGCGGUACCCUCCAGCAGGUGCUCUCUGUGCAAGGCUCCAUGACAGACAUGCUGCUCACCUUCAUCCCUGCUGCCAUCUAGACCUGCAGGGGAAGAGAAAGAAAACAAAACACAAAUCAAACAAGCCAAACACCUGGGUUUUCCAGGCACCAAAGCCGCAAAGCAUACCCCAUGGGGUAAGCUCGUAGCAUGAAUCCUAGCGGCCCAGGCUGGACUCUGGGUAGUCACUGUUGUAAGUUGAAGGCACAGUGGCUUCCCGCCCGUUGCCAGCCAAUGGCCAUGCAUGGUUAUGUCCCCUGGUGAAAAAUACAGUUUCAGCAGCAGGUUGGAGCCUCGGGGAACUGAGUACGGCACGUGCUGUGCGCUGUCCAAGAGCAUGAACGAUUCUUCACUCCCUGUCUCCUCUUUUUCAAAACAGCAAAAUCAAAUGAAUAAUUUUUCUUUGUAACAAUGAAACAAUCCAAAGUACAACAAAUAACAUGACACUCAUGUACUCACCACCAAGAUGUUUAGUUGUUACUAUAAUUGGAAACAGGUCUUGUUUGUUUGUUAAAAAGAAAUAAAAUUUUGAAGAUACAGUAAAGCCCAACCUUCAUCCCUCUCUUUCCCAGAGAGUCCCUCCUGAAGUUGCCACGGAUCAUUCCCAUGUGGCUUUUAGGACUUUUAGCACAUAUAUUUUUAUUUAUAAAUAUAUAUACACAAAUGAUCUUUCAUGUUUUUUAAACUUAUAUAAAUGAUAUAACUUACAUAUCUUUUUAAAUUUACUUUCUGCAUUCAGUGUUUUUGAAAUUUAUCAGUGUGAAUAUUGAU